GCGUAGGCCCCCACCUAUCGUGGGGUCCUGCUGCGGCCCCAUUGCUUCGGGAGCUGCGGGUUGGCUCCGGUCUGGAUGCGGGGUCCGAGGCAGGGUUCCAAUCUGGCUUGAAGGGAUGUCGGUGGCCUUUGUACCGGACUGGCUGAGAGGCAAGGCGGAAGUCAAUCAGGAGACCAUCCAGCGGCUCCUGGAGGAGAAUGACCAGCUGAUCCGCUGUAUCGUGGAGUAUCAGAAUAAGGGCCGGGCGAAUGAGUGUGUCCAGUACCAGCAUGUAUUACAUAGAAACCUCAUUUAUUUGGCCACCAUCGCAGAUGCCAACCCAACCAGUGCUUCAAAAACAAUGGAAUAAUCUUCCAGUUGACUGUUGUGAGAAGUAAUUGAAUGUAAUCCAUUUCCUAUGAAACGGAGACAGGAUCUUUACCAACUCAACUGCUUAAAACAUGAAUGAAACCUCUAUGGCCCUUUUUAAAAUGUGAAAAUGCAUGUCUGGAUAACAAAGACAUCAUGAGCUCUUCAAGUCUACCUUUUUACUUUCAACCUGAAGAGGAAACUGAGCAGAUGUUGGGCAAUUGGCAGGAAUUGGCAAGACUCCCGACUGAGACCCUGCCAAAUGGAUAUGCUGCUCCCUCCUACCAGUUUAUAGCCAUGGACUCCCUGACUGCUCUUUUCAGGUUGCUUUGAAAUAAAGCUUGCCUUUGCACAAGAGAAUGAUAGUGAGGUAUAGAAAUUUUCAUGUAGUAAUUAUUCCAUUUGGUUUUCCAGAAAAACUGUAAGGACUUAAAAAUAUAUGUAACAAUACCAUUAUCAUUGCUAACAAAAUUAA